rnacentral:rRNA from 1 species
GGUUAAAACUCAAAUGAAUUGACGGGGGCCCGCACAAGCGGUGGAGCAUGUGGUUUAAUUCGAUGCAACGCGAAGAACCUUACCUGGUCUUGACAUCCACGGAAGUUUUCAGAGAUGAGAAUGUGCCUUCGGGAACCGUGAGACAGGUGCUGCAUGGCUGUCGUCAGCUCGUGUUGUGAAAUGUUGGGUUAAGUCCCGCAACGAGCGCAACCCUUAUCCUUUGUUGCCAGCGGUCCGGCCGGGAACUCAAAGGAGACUGCCAGUGAUAAACUGGAGGAAGGUGGGGAUGACGUCAAGUCAUCAUGGCCCUUACGACCAGGGCUACACACGUGCUACAAUGGCGCAUACAAAGAGAAGCGACCUCGCGAGAGCAAGCGGACCUCAUAAAGUGCGUCGUAGUCCGGAUUGGAGUCUGCAACUCGACUCCAUGAAGUCGGAAUCGCUAGUAAUCGUGGAUCAGAAUGCCACGGUGAAUACGUUCCCGGGCCUUGUACACACCGCCCGUCACACCAUGGGAGUGGGUUGCAAAAGAAGUAGGUAGCUUAACCUUCGGGAGGGCGCUUACCACUUUGUGAUUCAUGACUGGGGUGAAGUCGUAACAAGGUAACCG